rnacentral:rRNA from 1 species
AUACGUAGGUGGCAAGCGUUGUCCGGAUUUAUUGGGCGUAUAGCGAGCGCAGGCGGUUUCUUAAGUCUGAUGUGAAAGCCCCCCGCUCAACCGGGGAGGGUCAUUGGAAACUGGGAGACUUGAGUGCAGAAGAGGAGAGUGGAAUUCCAUGUGGAGCGGUGAAAUGCGUAGAUAUAUGGAGGAACACCAGUGGCGAGGGGGACUCUCUGGUCGGUAACUGACGCUGAGGCUCGAAAGCGGGGGGAGCAAACAGGAUUAGAUUCCCGGGUAGUCCACGCCGUAAACGAUGAGUGCUAAGUGUUGGAGGGUUUCCGCCCUUCAGUGCUGCAGCUAACGCAUUAAGCACUCCGCCUGGGGAGUACGACCGCAAGGUUGAAACUCAAAGGAAUUGACGGGG